AAUGAACGUUGGCGGCGUGGAUUAGGCAUGCAAGUCGAGCGAGAAAGAUCCGGUGCUUGCAUUGGAUCUGGAAAGCGGCGAAAGGGAGAGUAACGCGUAGGGUACCUACCCCCAGGUCUGGGAUAGCGGCGGGAAACUGCCGGUAAUACUAGAUGAUGUCCCCGGACCAAAGGUGAGAUUCCGCCUGGGGAUGGUCCUGCGUCCUAUUAGCUUGUUGGCGAGGUAAUGGCUCACCAAGGCAAAGAUGGGUAGCGGGCGUGAGAGCGUGGCCCGUCUCACUGGGACUGAGACACUGCCCAGACACCUACGGGUGGCUGCAGUCGAGAAUCUUCCGCAAUGGACGAAAGUCUGACGGAGCGACGCCGCGUGCGGGAUGAAGGCCUUCGGGUUGUAAACCGCUGUCAGUGGGGUGGAAAUCUUUGGGGGUCAUCCCCCUUAGUUGACCUAACCGCAGAGGAAGUCCGGGCUAAGUACG
rnacentral:rRNA from 1 species